CCUACGGGUGGCAGCAGUGAGGAAUAUUGGUCAAUGGGCGCGAGCCUGAUCCAGCCACGUAGCGUGAAGGAUGACUGCUCUACGGGUUGUAAACUCCUUUUAUAAAGGAGUAAAUUAAGGCACGUGUGCCUUUUUGUAUGUACUUUAUGAAUAAGGAUCGGCUAACUACGUGCCAGCAGCCGCGGUAAUACGGAGGAUCCGAGCGUUAUCCGGAUUUAUUGGGUGUAACGGGCGCGUAGAUGGGUUGUUAAGUCAGUUGUGAAAGUUUGCGGCUCAACCGUAAAAUUGCAAUUGAUACUGGCAGUCUUGAGUACAGUUGAGGUAGGCGGAAUUCGUGGUGUAGCGGUGAAAUGCUUAGAUAUCACGAAGAACACCGAUUGCGAAGGCAGCUUACUAAACUGCCACUGACAUUGAUGCUCGAAAGUGUGGGUAGCAAACAGGAUUAGAUACCCCUGUAGUC
rnacentral:rRNA from 1 species